rnacentral:ncRNA from 1 species
AACCGGCUAAUAAGUGGGUUAGCCGAAGGACUGAACGGAGUCAUGACU